AAACACUGGUCAUAUUGUCAAGGCUUUGACUGCAAUGUCCUAUUUGAGAGAGGUCUGCAUUGGCUCAGAUACGACCAGACAGCAUUAAGGCACUAAGGUUGAUUUUUAUGGAGCCUGUGAAGCACCUUGGAAACAACUGGCCUGGUACCUUGCUUGUGAGUGUUCCCAGGAACCCUACCAGAUCCGAAGGUAUUAAAUCCACAGUACUUGUAAGGAUUGAGAAUAGAGCAGACCACUAGGAACAAAGUAGAUACAAAACAGUUUCUCAGAAAUCAAGAAUAAAAGAGAAUGGGCCACUGACGGAAGAUGGGUCUCAGAUAAACUCUGAAUAAACUGGAAUACAUGGAACCAAAUAUGGUAGAAAACUUUCAGAAUCACAAGUGAUACCUGCCCACUACUGUUUAAAAUCACUGGUCUAGUCCCUCUCUAUAGCAUUUGUUGCAGACAGCCCUAAAACAGCUGGAAUACAGUCAGCAGGGGCCCGGGCUGGACCAGGCAGAGCAACAGUUC